GUAUGUACGCUUCCCACUUGGCAGAAAUCGCAUGAGAGGGGGGAAAUUUCUUCAUUCUCGCUACCCCUGACCCUCACUUUCGAGCGAUCGUACGACAAACUCUCACUCCACCACCCUACCUCACUCACACACGCUCCUAUAUUCUAUGUAAACCCUCACCGCAACCUGCGUCACCAACCCACCCCGCACCUGAACGGUCCCAUACUCGAAGUGUUAGACAAUUUUGGUUCCACGCUUUGAAGCCUGCCGAGGAGUGUGGCACUAUAUUGUUUUUCGCUGUCUCCUUUCUUUCACUACAAAAUUGCUUUUGCCCUGUCUUUGGCGUAUUCAUAUGAGUUUGGCCUUUGCUGGAGGCGGAGGUGUGUGCGCAAGCGUUAUCGUGUUUUGUGAAGUGAUUCUUUGCUCCGUGAAUCCCAUCGAAUCGAUCAGCUGAUGGAAAGAGUUUGCCCGUGAAGCGGAAAGAGUGAAGCCGGAGUUAAACCGCAGGAUGGCAGGACAAAUCACAUCGGAGAGAGUGCUGAAUAUUCGACGUCUUGAGAGAAACCUCUGCCGAACAUAGGCACCCCAUCCCACCGUCCGCUUCGCAGAACGCCGGCAGUUUUUUUUACCUGUUCGUCCAGCGACCGCUUGCGCAUGAUGAGCGUAGGUGCAAUAAAAAAAGGGAUCGUAUGUAUUUCCUGGUAAUUAUUUCGUUCACGGUCGUGGUGUGUUUGGGACGAGGGUGUCCCGAAUGCAGCAAUAGGAAAGAAAGGGAAAGCGAGAAAGAAAAAAAGCGAAGGAAAGAACGGGACAAAAUAAAGCUAAUUUUUUGGCUUCCAGGCUUAUUAUAAAUAAGCUUGGGAGCUUCCAUGCUUGCAAGCUUGCAUGCUCGUAUGCAAGCGUACAUACGCCCCGCCUCCUAUACCCGAUUCCCCCACCCCCGCGAACGAUCCACGAACGAGGCUUACUAAGUUGCUAGUAAGCCUUUAAUAAGCCGGCUAAUAAGCCUCAAUGUCGUACGACUUUUGCCAAGUGGGU